rnacentral:pre_miRNA from 1 species
CAAAUACUCCCUCAGUCCGGAAAUACUUGUCAUCAAAAUGGAUAAAAGGAAAUGUAUCUAGACGUAUUUUAGUUUUAGAUACAUCUAUUUUUAUCCAUUUUGAUGACAAGUAUUUUCGGACGGAGGGAGUAGAAA